rnacentral:rRNA from 1 species
AACGUAGGAGACAAACGUUAUCCGGAGUUACUGGGCGUAAAGGGCGUGUAGGCGGUUAGUUAAGUCUGGCGUGAAAGCUCUCGGCUAAACCGGGAGAGGUUGUUGGAUACUGGCAAACUAGAGGACGGUAGAGGCGUGUGGAAUUCCGGGUGUAGUGGUGAAAUGCGUAGAGAUCCGGAGGAACACCAGUGGCGAAGGCGACACGCUGGGCCGUACCUGACGCUAAAGCGCGACAGCAUGGGGAGCAAACGGGG